rnacentral:rRNA from 1 species
CCUACGGGGGGCUGCAGUUGGGAAUCUUGCACAAUGGGGGAAACCCUGAUGCAGCGACGCCGCGUGGAGGACGAAGGGUCUAGGCCUGUAAACUCCUUUUUUCGGGAAAGACUUAGGACGGUACCCGAAGAAUAAGGACCGGCUAACUACGUGCCAGCAGCCGCGGUAAGACGUAGGGUCCAAGCGUUGUCCGGAUUUACUGGGCGUAAAGAGCGCGUAGGCGGCUCGUUAAGUGUAGAGUGAAAUCUCUGGGCUCACCCCAGAAACUGCUCUGC